CCUGCAUGUCCAACUUUGACUUGUACCACCAAAGAGGGAAUUCUAGAUCCAGGUGAAAUUCCAGUUCCUUCACUAACCUACCCUUCAAGAUUGCUCCCACAACAACACAAACACAGUGAAGACAGCAAAAAUGUGACACCCUCCUCUUCUGGAACAAGUGCUUUAAAUACAGCUGUGUGAAACCAUCAUCUCUCGGUAAAUUUUGCAAGAUGUUGAAUAUAUCUGCUUAGUUGUCAAAAUCAUGACAUUUCUUAGACAAAGAAGAUGAAAGAACACUGAACAUGGUCACACUUGUGGAUUUUUAAGUAAAAGAAGUGAAUCCCAAACAAGAAUAAAGAAAC
rnacentral:lncRNA from 12 species